GGGCUGGUAGCUCAGUUGGUUAGAGCACCACCAUAUAUAGGCAGAGGUCCUGGGUUCAACCCCCGGCUGGUCUA
rfam:Serpula lacrymans var. lacrymans S7.3 unplaced genomic scaffold SERLA73scaffold_128, whole genome shotgun sequence.